UGGGUUGUAGCUCAGUGGUAGAGCACUUGCCUAACAUGUGUGAGGCACUGGGUUCGAUCCUCAGCACAACAU
rfam:Ictidomys tridecemlineatus contig082116, whole genome shotgun sequence.